rnacentral:rRNA from 1 species
ACGCUCGACACCUACGGGCAGCAGUGGGGAAUAUUGCACAAUGGGGGAAACCCUGAUGCAGCAACGCCGCGUGAAGGAAGACGGUUUUCGGAUUGUAAACUUCUGUUCUUAGUGAAGAUAGUGACGGUAGCUAAGGAGCAAGCCACGGCUAACUACGUGCCAGCAGCCGCGGUAAUCUGAGCGGGCUGGCAAGGC